GUCAAUUUGAGUAACGUUAUCGUGUAUUCCACGUAAUUACGCAGUUUUACGUUAUCAAGCAAUGACAUCACAAAGUCAUUUAGCAACAAAUCAACCUGCCUCUAGCAACUUCCCCUGAAAAUUAGUUGGCAACACUGGUCCAGAGCACGAGGUAAAGUGUAUUUCAGAGGGGCAGUUGCCUUAGGAACUGCUGCAUGCUCUAAAGAGAGAAUAUGCAUUAUUAUCAUAAUUAAUAGUAUCACCUUCAUGGGGGAUAUUGAAAGUGCUGUAAUGAGUGUUCAUUAGACUUGAGGAUGACCUGUUAACAUCAUUGUGCUCUUUUGUUUUUAGUGGUAUACAGCCCUACAGCUAAGUGGCUUGUGGGGCAGGUUCAGUCUGUUCAGCACCGUUGAUGUACUGGCUCAGCUCAUAACUACUGGAGGACAGGCCUGACGCCUUGAAACUUGCCAGAGUCCCAGGAGCAUAACAGGUCUGGAGGACAAGACCAGCCAAACCAAGAUAGGAGAAUGAGUGCGGAUGGAGAACAUCAUACAACCAAGUUCCUAAAAUAAGUAUUAAACAGAGUGGGCAAACAGCAACACAGAUCUGUACAAUAUCUUUGUCAGAAGAAAUUCAUAUAAUUUAUUGAUCAUAAUAUUUAAAUGUUUACCUCUGUACCAGCCUCCCCAUUAUCUCUAGAACGACCUUAGCUUGUUUGAUUGCCUUGCGGAAGGAAUAGCUACACUGUUUGUAUUCGGUCAUGUUUCCGGUCAUACAGCUUCCUCAAUUGAGUUCCCUGAAUUCCUAUCGGACCUUGUAAUAGCAGAUAAUAUUCACAUUUUUGGUGACUUUAAUAUUCAUAUGGAAAAGUCCACAGACCCACUGCAAAAGGCUUUCGGAGCCAUCAUCGACUCAGUGGCUUUUGUCCAACAUGUCUCUGGACCUACUCACUAUCACAGUCAUACUCUGGACCUAGUUUUGUCUCAAGGAAUAAAUGUUGUGGAUCUUAAUGUUUUUCUUC
ensembl:lncRNA